rnacentral:tRNA from 12 species
GGGUCGUUAGCUCAGUUGGUAGAGCAGUUGACUUUUAAUCAAUUGGUCGCAGGUUCGAAUCCUGCACGACCCACC